CAUGGCUACUCCUGAGGCCUCCACGUGUUCCAACAACCACACCAAGCAGCCAUGCACAGGGGCUUUCUGGAGUGUCCAGGUUGUCUACCCCUCCACUCCCCGCUUCACCCCACUGCACAUAGUUGGAGCAUAAAGAGAUAACCCAGGCUGAAAGGGUGCCAAAAAGGUGCCAGAAAGGCUCAGGCCUCAGCUAAGAAUCAACAUCUCAGUCUGGAGAGCAGAUGUGGGAGGAGAUAAAAGAAAUAUUCUUGACUGAGAGACACUAUUUUACAGACUAUAAAAGACACACAAGUUAUCACAGAGGCAGAAGCCUCUUACACACACACCCUGAAGUGUUGGAGACUUCUCCCUGGAGCCUGGAUGCAGAUUCUGCGAUUACUUCCCUGGGGAUCGAGGGAAAGGAUCUCGAUGUGUGUCCCACCAACAACUGGAUGCCAUGGACAACUUGGAAAAAUCAUUCUUGGACAAGUGAUUCUCUUAUUGCCCAGCUACCCAUCAGAGGAUACGUGACUUUGGCACACUGCAGUGUUUCAUAUUUUGAUGGCCAGGGAGCAGCACAGCAGCCAUCACCAGCACUUACAGCCCAACCCAGCCAGAGACUGCUGCCCAAAAGCCCAGCCUUGGUCUCAUUUUGGAUCCUAGCCUCCUGCCACAGCCUUCCAGAUUAGUGGGUCCCAUGACCAUGCCAUAAGCUGGGUCAAGAGAUGCUCUGGCUGAAAAUGAAGGGCUCUCAAAAUUUGACUUUUGGGGGUCAGCCUGCUCCUGCCCAGGACUGCACCAAGACUGGGAGUCUCUAAAUAACCUCUGGCUGGCAGGCUCCCGUUGAUGGCAAGUGGAAAGUAGCACAGCUAGAGACUUUGCCGUGCAUUGUUCAUGUGUUUGCCAGGAAAUUUGGGAGAGAACUCCAGAGUUUUACUGCUGUGUUUCAUUGGAAUGGCCCCAGUUUUGCAACACCUGGUGUGUAGAAGGCUGUGCAGUGUCUGUAAUGUGCUUACAUUACAUUAAUUAAUACAUACAUUAUAAUUAAUGUGCUUACAUUACUUUAAUACAUACACUGUAUUAAGGAAUACAGCUUCAACCUCUUAAACCAUGACCCUUCAAGAUGAAGAACUGUAAGAACAUAACUUGAAUUGUUAAAACUUAAAAAAUAAAAACAACCAAAACUUAAAAAUAUAUAUUACUCCAAUCAUAAAGUGACAAAAUGAGCUCACUUUAGUAGCUGGAGCACUGCUAUUUUUGUAACUAAACCGCUGUUACUGCUUAUCAUUUACAGAGUGGGUGUUGAAUAGAUCAAGAAUGCAAACUUACCUUGUGGAAAAGUCAGGGUUGUGGAGAGGAGCUGAAAAGGUUUCCAAUUCAGAGAAAAAUCUUGUGACUUCAAAAAUCAGUAAUGGAUUAAAAUUUGCUUUCAAUUUAAUUUAGAACAGUGAACAUAUUUCCAACAAUUCAUUUGGAUAAUGUUUAUCCAUCUCAUUUGAGCUUCUCUUAUGUUAAAUAUGAUGUG